rnacentral:rRNA from 1 species
UGGGGAAUUGUUCGCAAUGGGCGCAAGCCUGACGACGCAACGCCGCGUGGAGGAUGAAGAUCUUCGGGUCGUAAACUCCUGUCGAGCGGGACGAAAGAUCCGCGACCUAAUACGUCGUGGAAGUGACGGUACCGCUAGAGGAAGCCCCGGCUAACUCCGUGCCAGCAGCCGCGGUAAUACGGGGGGGCUAGCGUUGUUCGGAAUUACUGGGCGUAAAGGGCUCGUAGGUGGCCAACUAAGUCAUGCGUGAAAUCCCUCGGCUUGACCGGGGAACUGCGUCUGAUACUGGAUGGCUUGAAUCCGGGAGAGGGAUGCGGAAUUCCAGGUGUAGCGGUGAAAUGCGUAGAUAUCUGGAGGAACACCGGUGGCGAAGGCGGCAUCCUGGACCGGUAUUGACACUGAGGAGCGAAAAGCCAGGGGAGCAAAACGGGAUUAGAUACCCCGGUAGUCCUGGCCCAAACGAUGAAUGCUUGGUGUGACGGGUAUCGAUCCCUGUCGUGCCGAAGCU